rnacentral:rRNA from 1 species
UACGAAGGGGGCUAGCGUUGCUCGGAAUCACUGGGCGUAAAGGGUGCGUAGGCGGGUCUUUAAGUCAGGGGUGAAAUCCUGGAGCUCAACUCCAGAACUGCCUUUGAUACUGAAGAUCUUGAGUUCGGGAGAGGUGAGUGGAACUGCGAGUGUAGAGGUGAAAUUCGUAGAUAUUCGCAAGAACACCAGUGGCGAAGGCGGACUCACUGGCCCGAUACUGACGCUGAGGCACGAAAGCGUGGGGAGC